AUCUCAUCUAGCUCUCUCACUAUCACUCUGUCUUUCUCUUUUGUCCCCUUUUUUAUCCCCUUUCUCUCUAUUCCUCUGUCUCGGCCUGCUUGCUCACUUCACAGCAGGGAGGAUGAUGGAGUGACGGCAGUUGGUGAAAGGUGGAGAAACAAGCAGGCUUGACGCAGGCUGCGUUCUGCAAGUGUGGGAGUCUGUGGGAGUGUGUGGGUUAAGCAGCUGGAUGCUGCAGACUAAAUUCAUUUCCAGCCAGAUGACAAACGACCCUGUCAGCCUGGUGACUGCCAUCCACACACAAGCUCCAACAGACACAGUGGAGUCCAGCCUGCCUCGGUAUUACCUACAGCAUCCACAUCUCUGAGUCUCUCCUGUUUGUAAAGGCACACUGCUGUCAAUAGCAAUAAAGCCUGGAUCCAGCACUGCGUUUCCUCCUGAAG